rnacentral:rRNA from 1 species
UACGUAGGGUGCAAGCGUUGCCCGGAUUUAUUGGGCGUAAAGGGCGCGUAGGCGGCUCUGCACGUCCGUUGUGAAAUCGCCCGGCUCAACUGGGCGGGGUCAGCGGAUACGGCAGAGCUUGAGCAAGCUAGGGGGCAAUGGAAUUCCCGGUGUAGUGGUGGAAUGCGCAGAUAUCAGGAGGAACACCGGUGGCGAAGGCGGGUCUCUGGGAAACAACUGACGCUGAGGAACGAAAGCGUGGGUAGCAAACAGG